rnacentral:rRNA from 1 species
UGAGGAAUAUUGCGCAAUGGGGGCAACCCUGACGCAGCAACGCCGCGUGAGUGAGGAAGGUUUUCGGAUUGUAAAGCUCUGUCGAGCGGAAAGAAAUGCAUUAUGGCUAAUAUCCAUAGUGCUUGACGGUACCGCUAGAGGAAGCACCGGCUAACUCCGUGCCAGCAGCCGCGGUAAUACGGGGGGUGCAAGCGUUGUUCGGAAUCAUUGGGCGUAAAGCGCGUGUAGGCGGCUUGACAAGUCAGAUGUGAAAUCCCCGGGCUUAACUCGGGAAGUGCAUUUGAAACUGUCUGGCUAGAGUAAGGGAGAGGAAAGUGGAAUUCCUGGUGUAGAGGUGAAAUUCGUAGAUAUCAUGAGGAACACCGGUGGCGAAGGCGACUUUCUGGCCCUAUACUGACGCUGAGACGCGAAAGCGUGGGUAGCAAACA